rnacentral:tRNA from 1 species
UGGGCAGAAGUCUAUAGGUAAGACAACUAGCUGUUAAUUAGUUUAUUGUGAGGUCAAAGCUCACCUGUCUAG